UCGUGAAAUCCAUCCCAUGUCCCGGCUCCCGACGCCCUACCCUCUCUAUCUCUUUGUAGCUCUCCACAAGCUGCAACUCUCUCGCGAAACUCGACAACCGUCUCUGCUCUCUCGCAAAGCUCGACGUUCUCUACUUUAUUGCGAAGUUCAACGUUCUCUGCUCUCUUGCAAAGCUCGAAAUUCUCUUCUCUCGCAAAGCUCGGCGUCUCUUUGUCUCGUCAAGGAACGGUCUCACUGCAACUCUCCUUGCAGCAACGAGUUCGAUUGUCAAGCUCAGAGUAAUCUGGUGACUUUCCUUCUUCAUUUUGUGACCUCAAUGGACAUUUACUUCUAUUAUGGUUAGGCUUAAGACAUAUCUUGCAAAAUUGAGUUCUUCUUGAUGACUUCAUUGCUCCAACUACAAGCACAAGUCAGAGAGGAGCAAGACAGAUGUCAAUGUUGAGGAUAAAUAUAGCAAAUCAAAUGGCUAUAUCGAAGGGAAUGCCUAUGAUUCCAAUUGAUGGACCUUGAUGUUUUGAUUUUAAUGACUUUAUGUUAGUUGCUACCAUUAAUGAUUUUAUGUUAGUUGUUAGAGUAUAUGUUACGUAAUAGAAAACUCUAUGUUCUAUUUACUUAUGUGACAUUUAAAAAGAUAUUCCCUAUUGAA